UAGCCGUAAACGAUACUCGCUAGGUGUCGGCCACGGUGCGACCGUUGUCGGUGCCGUAGGGAAGCCGUGAAGCGAGCCACCUGGGAAGUACGGCCGCAAGGCUGAAACUUAAAGGAAUUGGCGGGGGAGCACCACAAGAGGUGGAGGCUGCGGUUCAAUUGGACUCAACGCCGGAAAACUCAUCGGGAGCGACAGCAGUAUGAUUGCCAGGUUGAAGACUUUGCCGGAUUAGCUGAGAGGAGGUGCAUGGCGUAGUCGUGU
rnacentral:rRNA from 1 species